GAAAGUGUCAAAUGGCUCAUCGAGCAAAAAAGCCGGCGUCUGUAGCAGCGAAAUGGCACGUAAAUUCCCAUUGGCUGCCACACCACGUCACGAGCGUGCAUCGACG
rnacentral:lncRNA from 1 species